rnacentral:rRNA from 1 species
AUUGAACGCUGGCGGCAGGCCUAACACAUGCAAGUCGAACGAGUGGCGGACGGGUGAGUAAUGUCUGGGAAACUGCCUGAUGGAGGGGGAUAACUACUGGAACCGGUAGCUAAUACCGCAUACCAUCGGAUGUGCCCAGAUGGGAUUAGCUAGUAGGUGGGGUAAAGGGUCACCUAGGGGACGAUCCCUAGCUGGUCUGAGAGGAGGACCGGCAAAACGGGAACUGAGACACGGUGAAGACGCCUACGGGAGGCAGCAGGGGGGAAUAUUGGACAAUGGGCGCAAGCCUGAUGCAGCCAUGCCGCGUGUAGGAAGAAGGCCUUCGGGUUGUAAAGUACUUUCAGCGGGGAGGCGUUACCCGCAGAAGAAGCACCGGCUAACUCCGUGCCAGCCGCCGCGGUAAUUC